AUGGAACACCUACCCCUAUUGCAGGCUGGAAGUCUUGCUGGUCUGAUGCCAAAAAUUGAAUUGUAUACUGUAGAAUCAUGGAUGGCUCUGCUGGAUUCUGACUCAUGCCCUAAAUUAAGAAAUGGCUCUGAAUGUUGUCUCAAGGGAAACAUGGAUGAACAUGGCCAGGGAGAGAGUAAAAGGAUGAAAGAACAAGGUGCCUACCAUGGAGGAUGCAAAAGAAAUUUUUCCCCAAGGACUGUAGUCCCAGGUUAGGCAUGCUCCAGCCAAAAUUUUUCUCAGAGUUAUCCCACUUCUCCUAUAUGCCAGGAAUCUCAUUAGGCCUGAAGCAUGCAGAAAGGGGCAUAAUUAGUCUUUGUUCAAUAGAAGAUCAUCUUCUGGAGGUGAUGGGGCUUUACUUUAGGUCCAUAGAACCCAUUUACUAAAACCAAAUUGUCACACUUCACACAUUUCGGUGUCCUUUAUUUCUAACUGGAAUUGUACUUGACUAGCAUUUUUGGAAUAAUUUUGUUGGCAGUAGUUCUUCUGAGUGAGUACUACAACAAAGUUGUAUAAGUCUAACCAUUUUAGAAUCUACUCUAACCCGAAUGUCAACUCCAACAAGAAAACCCCUAAAAGGAAAGAAACUGCUGCCAACUAUUUGAUGGUUUGACAAAGUGUGGCUGUUUUUCUAGGCUGUGAUUUAUUUAAAUUUUGCAAGCCCUUAUCAUCUUGCAGGUUUUAGGCACUUUGGUGGUGAUUCAGAUAAGGUUAAAUGAGUUGCUUCCAAAACACAAGACUCUUGGGUGGAAAUACGGAAAGACUUAGCGCCAGGAUUUCUGAUCUUUGAACCAAUGCUCUGCCUCAGAGUUAUGGGAUUCAGGAGGAAUUAUUUGACCUCUUUGACCUGGUUUCCUCAUGGGAAACAUUUUGUUGAUGGUGAUUUGCUUGCCUCAUAGAAGG
rnacentral:lncRNA from 1 species